rnacentral:rRNA from 1 species
GCUUACGGCCACACCGGCCUGAGUACGCCUGAUCUCGUCCGAUCUCGGAAGCUAAGCAGGGUCGGGCCUGGUUAGUACUUGGAGGAUGGGAGACCGCCUGGGAAUACCAGGUGCUGUAAGCU